GAAACCCACCACAAGAUGAGAUUUCUUUAAAGGGUCGUGGGAGAUGACCACGUUGAUAGGCUACAGGUGUAAAGGCAGUAAUGUCAUAGCCGAGUAGUACUAAUAACCCAUAGGCUUAUUGUACGCC
rnacentral:rRNA from 1 species